rnacentral:rRNA from 1 species
CCUACGGGUGGCAGCAGUGAGGAAUAUUGGUCAAUGGGCGCGAGCCUGAACCAGCCAAGUAGCGUGAAGGAUGACUGCCCUACGGGUUGUAAACCUCUUUUGUAAAGGAAUAAAGUGAGGCACGUGUGCCUUUUUGUAUGUAUUUUAUGAAUAAGGAUCGGCUAACUCCGUGCCUGCAGCCGCGGUAAUACGGAGGAUCCGAGCGUUAUCCGGAUUUAUUGGGUUUAAAGGGAGCGUAGAUGGGUUGUUAAGGCAGGUGUUAAAGUGUGCGGAUCAAACAUAAAAUUGCCAUUGAGACUGGCAGCCUUGAGUACGGUUGAGGUAGGCGGAAUUCGUGGUGUAGCGGUGAAAUGCUGAGAUAUCACGAAGAACUCCGAUUGCGAAGGCAGCCUACUAAACUGCCACUGACAUUGAUGCUCGAAAGUGUGGGUAUCAAACAGGAUUAGAUACCCCGGUAGUC